UACGUGGGGGGCUAGCGUUGUCCGGAAUCAUUGGGCGUAAAGCGCGUGUAGGCGGUCCGGUAAGUCCGCUGUGAAAGUCGAGGGCUCAACCCUCGGAUGCCGGUGGAUACUGUCGGGCUUGAGUACGGAAGAGGCGAGUGGAAUUCCUGGUGUAGCGGUGAAAUGCGCAGAUAUCAGGAGGAACACCAAUUGCGAAGGCAGCUCGCUGGGACGUUACUGACGCUGAGACGCGAAAGCGUGGGGAGCAAACAGG
rnacentral:rRNA from 1 species